rnacentral:rRNA from 1 species
GACGAACCGUGCAAACGUUGUUCGGAUUCACUGGGCUUAAAGGGCGCGUAGGCGGGUUUUCAAGUCCGGGGUGAAAUCCUCUCGCUCAACGAGAGAACUGCCCCGGAUACUGGAGACCUCGAGGGAGGUAGGGGCAUGUGGAACUUCCGGUGGAGCGGUGAAAUGCGUAGAUAUCGGAAGGAACGCCGGUGGCGAAAGCGACGUGCUGGACCUCUUCUGACGCUGAGGCGCGAAAGCCAGGGGAGCAAACGGG